GUGCUCACUUCAGCAGGCAUUAUUACUAAAACUGGAAAGAUGAAGAAUAUUAGCACGAUACCUGCACAAGGAUGACAUGCAAUUCAUGAGGAGUUCCUAUUAACA
rnacentral:snRNA from 1 species